GUGUAACGGUGAGUGAUGGACGGUGGAGUACUUCUGGAAGGAAUAGCCCCCGACUUUGAGAAACAAGGUGAACUACUAAGAACAUAUCCUGAAAGGAGACGCCGGGAAUGAAUUCGAGAGAGUGGUGAGCUGAUGGAUUGAGGAAAGCAUUUUAAUGCCUUUGAAAGAGAAGUAAAGAGCGGUGUGUUUCGGAUGAUGGUAGUAAGCCAGCCACCCCCACCCUGAGGAUGAAGUUUUGUGUUUGAUGCAUGAAAGUACUUAUGCGUCAUGGUUCACGAGACAUUUGUUUAGGUGAUUUCGAACAAUACUGUCUUAUAAAUGUUUGCACCAAAAAUACGUUAUAUACAUAGUAACAUGCACAAUUCGCUGGAGAGGACCGAACAUCUGUAAAUGUAUGAUUGCAUCACGAAAAAUCAUGUAACAACUCGUAUGUCCAUGCCAGAAAGCUCCACCACAUAAUAGGAGGAACUGCUGCCAAGAAGUGUGAAAUCCCUUACAUCGCAGUAGUUUAUGUGAAAAGAGGUGCGCAGGGUUUCCUCUGCAGCGGUUCUUUCAUAGACGCGAGACACGUCUUGACGGCUGCUCACUGCUUAGAAGGCAAUGAAGUCAAAGCUACCGUUAUAUACGAUUUUCUUGACAUACAUUCUCCAAAAGCGUUUGCAAAAGUAUCAGAAUAUGCUAUACAUCCUGGAUUCUCUAUAAAUAAUUCAACAAUAUUGAACGACAUAGCAAUUGUAACUCUGGAAAAGGCAAUAAAAUUUAGCGAUUGUGUAAAGCCGAUCCGACUGGCAUCUCCCAAUGAAGCGUUUAUUGGUGAUUGUAAGGCGGCUGGAUGGGGCAAGACUAACGGUUUACAAAGUUCCAGCUCAGAUAAGCUUCUAUAUGUCGAUAUCCCAUUGAUUGACGAGAAGAGCUGCAAAGAAAAUGGUGCGAAUGUUAAUGAACAACAUAUCUGUGCUGGAGAAAUGAAGACCAUGGGGAAAACUACUU